rnacentral:rRNA from 1 species
GACGAACCGUGCGAACGUUAUUCGGAAUCACUGGGCUUAAAGCGCGUGUAGGCGGGGCGGCACGUCGGUCGCUGAAAGCCCCCGGCUCAACCGGGGAAGGGGCGCCGAUACGACCGUCCUGGAGGGACGUAGGGGGACCUGGAACUUCCGGUGGAGCGGUGAAAUGCGUAGAUAUCGAGAGGAACACCUGCGGCGAAGGCGGGUUGCUGGGCUGAUACUGACGCUGAGGCGCGAAAGCCAGGGGAGCGAACGGG